UCUUAGAAUGUUCUGAGCAGUACAACUGUCGAAGUGGUAGCAACUGUCGAGGCCUCUGACCACUCCAGACGUUCUGAAGGGGACAGUGUCAAAUGGAUACAGAGACACGCAUAUAGGCGGUAUUUGCGGACAGCUUAACACAUUGUCUAUGGAUCUGCCUCCAGUUCGCUCACUUUGCCUUGUAAACUAACAAGUUACAAGGAGGCAGAGCUCUGUGAUUUCUGUAUCCCAGCACUAGUGCUGUGUAAUCCAUGGCGGCAAUAGCACAGUCCUGGCACAGAGUGGUACUUAGUAUUCCCGAAGGAAACGAAUGACCUCCAUGCACGAGAAUACAGAUGGCAGCUGCACCGGAGGGAGUGUAAGAGAGGCAGGGUGGACGGUGUCAUGAAGAACCAGGACAGAGGACCAAGGGACAGAAUGCUGGAGAACAUCAACACCCAUAUGAGAACUUCUGCUUCUGGCAUAGUGAACUAGAUUUACAGCCACAAUUAUAUGGAAGGCAGAAGGAGAGGAGCCCUCAAAGAAAAUCAGAGAGGGGCCACCACGGGAGGAAAAGCACCAGAGAGAGCGCUGUUCUGAACGACAACGGCAAGAGUUUUAAGGAGUUUCCUUCAUGCAUCUCAAAAUUCCAUCGGAUGGGGCUGGUCUAAAUGGCAAAUAGACAGCGUGGAACCUCCUGGAUCCCGCUCUGUAUGUGCCCCUGGCUUCGUUCCUGCUGCUCCCACACUGCACCUUAUGCUCGGGCCUGAUCUUUGUUUGUGGAUUCCUGGACCAGCCUCACUGUUGAACACCCAUUAGAGACUUGAACAAAAGAUGAGGUGAGGCCCGAGGACAGAGCAAAGGCAGACACGGACAACAGAAAUUUCCAGGAACCAUGAGAGGAAAACAAGCACCCCCAAAGCUACGGCACACGCCAGAAGAAAUGUGUAAUUUGCUUAGAAGAACUCAUUGUCCUCUGCAUGCUUUUCCAGGAAGCCUCUGUGGAGGAAAGACUUUCUGGUCACUUGAGGAAAUAUGUGCUUGGGAUAUUGGGGCAAUAUUUCAGUGGGCAGAAGUGGUAAAUGAGUAUGUAAGCCAUGCUGGGGACUCUCCCUUGCUGGUCGUGCCCCACCUUGAUCCAAAGUCAGCUCUCAUAUGAUCUAGAUUUGGCUCUGUUAAAAUUACGUCCCAGUGACCACAACAGAGCUCCUCGUUUAUUCAGUCGUCACACAGAUCUGAUUCAUUCAUUAUUCUGAAUCUAGACAAGAAUACUGAAGAAAACAGAAAAUAUCUAAGCCUCGAAAAUGCUGUCACCAAGACCAGCCUCAUAGCUCAUUUACCCUCCUUUGAGGGUAACCCCACAAGCCUUCAUUCGGGGACUACUGGUUUUUAUUUUCCAUAGAAUUCUAACAAACUGGAUGGCAGCGCAGGUAAAAUAACACGUCAGACGGACCUCUGCUGCGUUACUCACAGGUUGUUUUCUCUCUCUGAGCCUUGAGUUCUCACCUCGGAAAUGAAGCAGAGAUACUACCUCGGCGGGGAACACUGAGGAUUAAGUGCUCCCAUAUUUGCACAAGUGCCUGACACACAAUAAGGACUCGGCACAUGCUUUUCCAUGUGAAAGACUCCCUUCCAGACACAAAGGUAUUGACAAAGAAAUCCUAACUGUCCGACAGGAGACAGCAAACACCCUUGUGGUGGUCGGAUGUGAAGGGAUCUAGCUCUGAACACCUAACAAGGGCCCAAAAGCAUUUCACCAAGAAGAGCGUGAACUAUGCCCACUCAGUCCAUUAUGUUCCAGAGGAUUCCACGUCAUCAAGAAAAGGUGAGGAAAUGGAGGUUCAAGAUCACACAGCCAGGAGCUGGGAUUGAGGCCAACAGUGAUUCUGCCUGAACCCUAAUCAAGCUGUUCCAAGGUGGCACCUACACUGUGCCCACGAGGAGCCAGCAAAUGUGCCUUCAAAGGGCUGGUCAUUCUCGUGAAAGCACAGAUAUGCACAUUUGGCUUGUGCCACAGCAGUCCUCUCUCUGAAGGGACAGUUAUUAAAGGCCGGUUGAUGCUGGCCGCCAUAGAUAAGGGGCUUAGAAUGGAUUGGGACCAGAUUCUCUCCCCCUUCCACAUUUUCUAUCUCUGUUAUUACAGGCCUCAGGCUACAGAAUCUUAACAGCUGGAGUCUUGGAAAACCCUCAGGAAUCAGGGGAAAACCAAAAGCAAAGGCUUUUCUCCUUGCUCAUAAAAACAAAAUACGUUAAAAUCAAUUCUGUAUACCUGUUGUAGUUAUAAAGUUGGUAAAAAGAGCAAACAAUACCUUUUGCAGUUCUUC